UACGGAGGGUGCAAGCGUUGUUCGGAAUCACUGGGCUUAAAGCGCGUGUAGGCGGAAUACAAGGUGCCGUGUGAAAUCCCCGGGCUCAACCCGGGAACUGCACGACAAACCGGUAUUCUUGAGGCAAGUAGAGGUGACUGGAACGACUGGUGGAGCGGUGAAAUGCGUUGAUAUCAGUUGGAACGCCUGAGGCGAAAGCGGGUCACUGGGCUUGUCCUGACGCUAAGACGCGAAAGCGUGGGUAGCAAACAGG
rnacentral:rRNA from 1 species